CGUGGAAGCAGGAGGGUAUUCUUCUCAGGGAGAAGCUUGAGGCAACAGUACGUACGAGUUCUUCAGCUCCAGUCUGAUAGCAGAACUAAGGCUCCUGAUGGAAUGGAUGCCAACUGAUCUGUAGCUUCAUCUAAGAAAGAAAACAAUGGG